rnacentral:tRNA from 1 species
UCCCGGGUGGUUGAGUGGUAAAGAAUCUGCCUGCCAAGCAGAAGAUGCAGGUUCAAUCCUGGGUUGGGGAG